AGUGGCGGACGGGUGAGUAACGCGUGAGAAUCUGCCUUGGGGUCGGGGACAACCACUGGAAACGGUGGCUAAUACCGGAUAAGCCGAUUGGUGAAAGAUUUAUUGCCCGAAGAGGAGCUCGCGUCUGAUUAGCUAGUUGGUGAGGUAAGAGCUCACCAAGGCAGCGAUCAGUAGCUGGUCUGAGAGGACGAUCAGCCACACUGGGACUGAGACACGGCCCAGACUCCUACGGGAGGCAGCAGUGGGGAAUUUUCCGCAAUGGGCGAAAGCCUGACGGAGCAAGACCGCGUGAGGGAGGAAGGCUCUUGGGUUGUAAACCUCUUUUCUCAGGGAAGAAGCUCUGACGGUACCUGAGGAAUCAGCCUCGGCUAACUCCGUGCCAGCAGCCGCGGUAAUACGGAGGAGGCAAGCGUUAUCCGGAAUUAUUGGGCGUAAAGCGUCCGCAGGUGGCGAUUCAAGUCUGCUGUCAAAGCACGGGGCUUAACUCCGUAAAGGCAGUGGAAACUGAAUAGCUAGAGUGCCGUAGGGGUAGAGGGAAUUCCCGGUGUAGCGGUGAAAUGCGUAGAGAUCGGGAAGAACAUCAGUGGCGAAAGCGCUCUACUGGACGGCAACUGACACUCAGGGACGAAAGCUAGGGGAGCGAAUGGGAUUAGAUACCCC
rnacentral:rRNA from 1 species